CCUGGGGGGUGCUAUACAUGCAAGUCGAACGCUUUGUGGUUCAACUGAUUUGAAGAGCUUGCUCAGAUAUGACGAUGGACAUUGCAAAGAGUGGCGAACGGGUGAGUAACACGUGGGAAACCUACCUCUUAGCAGGGGAUAACAUUUGGAAACAGAUGCUAAUACCGUAUAACAAUGACAACCGCAUGGUUGUUAUUUAAAAGAUGGUUCUGCUAUCACUAAGAGAUGGUCCCGCGGUGCAUUAGCUAGUUGGUAAGGUAAUGGCUUACCAAGGCGAUGAUGCAUAGCCGAGUUGAGAGACUGAUCGGCCACAAUGGGACUGAGACACGGCCCAUACUCCUACGGGAGGCAGCAGUAGGGAAUCUUCCACAAUGGGCGAAAGCCUGAUGGAGCAACGCCGCGUGUGUGAUGAAGGGUUUCGGCUCGUAAAACACUGUUGUAAGAGAAGAAUGACAUUGAGAGUAACUGUUCAAUGUGUGACGGUAUCUUACCAGAAAGGAACGGCUAAAUACGUGCCAGCAGCCGCGGUAAUACGUAUGUUCCAAGCGUUAUCCGGAUUUAUUGGGCGUAAAGCGAGCGCAGACGGUUAUUUAAGUCUGAAGUGAAAGCCCUCAGCUCAACUGAGGAAUUGCUUUGGAAACUGGAUGACUUGAGUGCAGUAGAGGAAAGUGGAACUCCAUGUGUAGCGGUGAAAUGCGUAGAUAUAUGGAAGAACACCAGUGGCGAAGGCGGCUUUCUGGACUGUAACUGACGUUGAGGCUCGAAAGUGUGGGUAGCAAACAGGAUUAGAUACCCUGGUAGUCCACACCGUAAACGAUGAGUGCUAGGUGUUUGAGGGUUUCCGCCCUUAAGUGCCGCAGCUAACGCAUUAAGCACUCCGCCUGGGGAGUACGACCGCAAGGUUGAAACUCAAAGGAAUUGACGGGGACCCGCACAAGCGGUGGAGCAUGUGGUUUAAUUCGAAGCAACGCGAAGAACCUUACCAGGUCUUGACAUCCCUUGACAACUCCAGAGAUGGAGCGUUCCCUUCGGGGACAAGGUGACAGGUGGUGCAUGGUUGUCGUCAGCUCGUGUCGUGAGAUGUUGGGUUAAGUCCCGCAACGAGCGCAACCCUUAUUACUAGUUGCCAGCAUUCAGUUGGGCACUCUAGUGAGACUGCCGGUGACAAACCGGAGGAAGGUGGGGAUGACGUCAAAUCAUCAUGCCCCUUAUGACCUGGGCUACACACGUGCUACAAUGGCGUAUACAACGAGUUGCCAACCCGCGAGGGUGAGCUAAUCUCUUAAAGUACGUCUCAGUUCGGAUUGUAGGCUGCAACUCGCCUACAUGAAGUCGGAAUCGCUAGUAAUCGCGGAUCAGCACGCCGCGGUGAAUACGUUCCCGGGUCUUGUACACACCGCCCGUCACACCAUGAGAGUUUGUAACACCCAAAGCCGGUGGGGUAACCUUCGGGAGCCAGCCGUCUAAGGUGACCAGAA
rnacentral:rRNA from 1 species